rnacentral:lncRNA from 1 species
AAAAAAACAAAACCAACAACAAAAAAAUCAGCCAGCAUAUAGAAAUACAUUUAUAUUAUUCUUAGGCAUCUUUCCUGUGGGUUGCAAAAAUUUGGUUUUGUUUUCUCUACGUGCCUCGGCACUUCUCGUUCCAUCUGGAAGUGGAGAUCAAAGCGCUGCAGUCCCACAAGCAAGCGAGCAAGCAUUUGUCUCUUGAGCUGCACAAGGAAGCACUGGAAGGCUGACAAAGGAUCGUGCUGCUGCAGGGCAGGGGCCAGAGCGCCGCAGAGAUGCGUCGCUCCAGAUUGCUUCAAGGGGCACCGGAUCACGUUUUGGAGCACAAUGUUUAGAUCUCUGAAGGGAUAAGUGAGCAGAACAUGAGCCUUACAUAAAUAUCAGAUCGCUGCAAUGAGAGAUAAAAACUUGUGUUGCAGAAUGCAACUUUGCUUGCCUCAAGUAGGUGGGUUUCCUUUGUUUGUUUUUUAAUACAACAUUAAUAAAAACAUUGUUA